rnacentral:rRNA from 1 species
UGGGGAAUAUUGCACAAUGGAGGGAACUCUGAUGCAGCGACGCCGCGUGAGUGAUGAAGGAAUUCGUUUCGUAAAACUCUGUUCUAUGGGAAGAAAAGGACUGUACCAUAGGAGAAAGCUCCGGCUAAAUACGUGCCAGCAGCCGCGGUAAUACGUAUGGAGCGAGCGUUGUCCGGAAUUAUUGGGCGUAAAGGGUGCGCAGGCGGCUUUACAAGUUGGAUGUGAAAUAUUGUGGCUCAACCACAAACGUGCAUCCAAAACUGCAAAGCUGGAGUUAAGGAGAGGUAAGUGGAAUUCCGGGUGUAGCGGUAGAAUGCGUAGAUAUCAGGAGGAAUACCGGUGGCGAAGGCGACUUACUGGACUUAAACUGACGCUCAGGCACGAAAGCGUGGGGAGCAAACAGG